rnacentral:rRNA from 1 species
AGCGAACGCUGGCGGCAGGCCUAACACAUGCAAGUCGAACGAACCUUUCGGGGUUAGUGGCGGACGGGUGAGUAACACGUGGGAACGUGCCUUUAGGUUCGGAAUAACUCAGGGAAUCUUGUGCUAAUACCGAAUGUGCCCUUCGGGGGAAAGAUUUAUCGCCUUUAGAGCGGCCCGCGUCUGAUUAGCUAGUUGGUUGAGGUAAUGGCUCACCAAGGCGACGAUCAGUAGCUGGUCUGAGAGGAUGAUCAGCCACAUUGGGACUGAGACACGGCCCAAACUCCUACGGGAGGCAGCAGUGGGGAAUCUUGCGCAAUGGGCGAAAGCCUGACGCAGCCAUGCCGCGUGAAUGAUGAAGGUCUUAGGAUUGUAAAAUUCUUUCACCGGGGACGAUAAUGACGGUACCCGGAGAAGAAGCCCCGGCUAACUUCGUG